rnacentral:rRNA from 1 species
UUUCCGGUUGAUCCUGCCGGACCUGACUGCUAUCGGAUUGAUACUAAGCCAUGCGAGUCUUUGUAGUAAUACAAGGCAGACGGCUCAGUAACACGUAGUCAACCUACCCUAUGGACAAGAAUAAUCUCGGGAAACUGGGCAUAAUUCUUGAUAGAUCAUAAUGCCUGGAAUGGUUUAUGGUUAAAAUGAUUCGUCGCCAUAGGAUGGGACUGCGGCCUAUCAGCUUGUUGGUGAGGUAAUGGCCCACCAAGGCGAUUACAGGUACGGGCUCUGAGAGGAGAAGCCCGGAGAUGGGUACUGAGACACGGACCCAGGCCCUAUGGGGCGCAGCAGGCGAGAAAACUUUGCAAUGUGCGAAAGCACGACAAGGUUAAUCCGAGUGAUUUCUGCUAAAGAAAUCUUUUGCCAGUCAUAAAACCACUGGUGAAUAAGGGGUGGGCAAGUUCUGGUGUCAGCCGCCGCGGUAAAACCAGCACCUCAAGUGAUCAGGAUGAUUAUUGGGCCUAAAGCAUCCGUAGCCGGCUUUGUUAGUUUUCGGUUAAAUCCAUGUGCUCAACGCAUGGGCUGCCGAAAAUACUGCAUGGCUAGGGAGUGGGAGAGGUAGACGGUACUCAGUAGGAAGGGGUAAAAUCCUUUGAUCUAUUGAUGACCACCUGUGGCGAAGGCGGUCUACCAGAACACGUUCGACGGUGAGGGAUGAAAGCUGGGGGAGCAAACCGGAUUAGAUACCCGGGUAGUCCCAGCUGUAAACGAUGCAGACUCGAUGAUGCAUUGGCAUAAUAGCCAGUGCAGUGUCGCAGGGAAGCCGUUAAGUCUGCCGCCUGGGAAGUACGUACGCAAGUAUGAAACUUAAAGGAAUUGGCGGGGGAGCACCACAAGGGGUGAAGCCUGCGGUUCAAUUGGAGUCAACGCCGGG